UACGUAGGGGGCUAGCGUUGUCCGGAUUUAUUGGGCGUAAAGAGCGUGUAGGCGGCCAGGUAGGUCUGCUGUGAAAACUCGAGGCUUAACCUCGAGAUGUCGGUGGAAACCAUCUGGCUAGAGUCCGGAAGAGGAGAGUGGAAUUCCUGGUGUAGCGGUGAAAUGCGCAGAUAUCAGGAAGAACACCCGUGGCGAAGGCGGCUCUCUGGGACGGUACUGACGCUGAGACGCGAAAAGCGUGGGGAGCGAACAGG
rnacentral:rRNA from 1 species